AUGUUAGACCCGGAAAGAAGACCGCCGGUAAUGAUUAUGAAGCAGAGUCGCAUAGUAAUGGACCCGUGAACAGAUGUGAGGACGAGUAUUUCAAAAAAUCAAAGACUUACAUUCCUCUAAACAAGCAAAAUAAUCACUGGAUUACUGUCGUCAUGCAUAGCGGAAAAAGAGAGUUUCAGGUUCUUGACUCGUUGAUGACCGGAAAACUUGACACUGUUACUAGAGAACUCGUUGAGGACCUGAGAAAACAACUAGCAGAAGAUAUCCAAGAAGCAAAUGCAACCGGAAUUGUGAAUUAUCCGGAUGUUUCCAAGUGGCCUAUUCAAACGUAUGA